rnacentral:rRNA from 1 species
UAGACACCAAAGUAGACCACGUUAAGCAUCCCUAAACAAAGGACUAAACCAAAUGGGUCCCUACUCUAAUGUCUUUGGUUGGGGCGACCGCGGGGAAAUACAAAACCCCCAUGUGGAAUGGGAAUACCUCUCCUACAACCCAGAGCUCCCGCUCUAAUUAACAGAAAUUCUGACCAGUCAGAUCCGGCUAACGCCGAUCAACGGACCGAGUUACCCUAGGGAUAACAGCGCAAUCCCCUUUUAGAGCCCAUAUCGACAAGGGGGUUUACGACCUCGAUGUUGGAUCAGGACAUCCUAAUGGUGCAGCCGCUAUUAAG